GGGAUCAACGGGAGACAAAGGGGUAGAGGGUCUGCUUUGCAUUCAGAAGGUCCCAGGUUCAAUCCCUGGCAUCUCCA